rnacentral:rRNA from 1 species
CACGGGGGGAGCAAGCGUUGUUCGGAAUCACUGGGCGUAAAGGGCGUGUAGGCGGUCAGGUAAGUGGGAUGUGAAAUGCCCCGGCUCACCCGGGGACCGGCAUCCCAUACUGCUUGGCUUGAGUACGGGAGAGGAGAAUGGAAUUCCUGGUGUAGCGGUGAAAUGCGCAGAUAUCAGGAAGAACACCCGUGGCUAAGGCGGUUCUCUAGUACGGUACUGACGCUGAGACGCGAAAGCGUGGGGAGCGAACAGG